rnacentral:rRNA from 1 species
GAUGAACGCUGGCGGCGUGCCUAAUACAUGCAAGUCGAGCGAACGGACGAGAAGCUUGCUUUUCUGAUGUUAGCGGCGGACGGGUGAGUAACACGUGGAUAACCUACCUAUAAGACUGGGAUAACUUCGGGAAACCGGAGCUAAUACCGGAUAAUAUUUUGAACCGCAUGGUUCAAAAGUGAAAGACGGUCUUGCUGUCACUUAUAGAUGGAUCCGCGCUGCAUUAGCUAGUUGGUAAGGUAACGGCUUACCAAGGCAACGAUGCAUAGCCGACCUGAGAGGGUGAUCGGCCACACUGGAACUGAACCACGGUCCAGACUCCUACGGGAGGCAGCAGUAGGGAAUCUUCCGCAAUGGGCGAAAGCCUGACGGAGCAACGCCGCGUGAGUGAUGACGGUCUUCGGAUCGUAAAACUCUGUUAUUAGGGAAGAACAUAUGUGUAAGUAACUGUGCACAUAUUGACGGUACCUAAUCAGAAAGCCACGGCUAACUACGUG